rnacentral:sRNA from 1 species
ACUGCUGGUCGUGUGUGUGUGUGUGUGUGUGUAUGUGUUUGUGAUUUAAAAUUACAUUCAGUCAACUCUCUCUUUUUAUAGCCCUAUGGGCUUUUUGAAUAACCAAAUGCUCAACAGUUCUGUAAUCUUUCAGGUUGCUGUGAUCAGUCCCUAAGGAGUCUACACUCUCAGAGAGAUUGGGAAAGGCCUGUGAGACAAUGGGAUUCUUUUUUCUAGAGGUGUAACUCUGCCUGUGUUUGCAUGCCACCUCCAGAACGACUAAAAUGUUAUUUCUCAGUGGGUGAUUAAGACUGGCAGCAAUUGCAAAAACAGAUUCAUGCCAUGUGUCACUCUUCACAGUCAGGAACUUAUUUACCUCUUGGAACUUUCCAAAGGAACGAUGAUGGUGGUGAUAAUGUCACAUUAAUAUGGAGCCCUUAAAUUCAGCAGUGUUCAACCUGAGGGAAGAGAGAGGCCAUGCUGGAUAAGGAACUGGCUGCCUCUGUGAACAUCCUACUCAAGGCAUCUUCACUGCUGUACAUCCUUUUGAAAUCCCAGAGGUCUUCAGUCUCCCUGUGGAUUAAGGAGAUGUGCAGUAUUUAAAGUAGCUUCAGGAAGGCAUGGAAGAGGACUGAGUGCGGAAAGCUUUUUGUGCAUGCUGCUGGCCACCUCCAGCGGCUGCCUCCAGCCUCCAUCAGCUGCACUCUGGGGAAGAGGAGGCUGCCUUCUACCUCUCAGCAUCUCUGGAUUUCAUGUUCCUGUCAGCACAGAGGAGCUAAAUGGCCU